UUGAUAAAAAUUAAUAAUAUUUUUUUUGAGAAAUAGAAGAAUAAUAUUGCUCUUAAUUAAAGCGAAGAAAGAAAAGAAAAGAUGAUGAAGAAAGAAAUUGUGGAAGGAAAAUUCUGGUUAACGGCGGUCCGCAUUUCGCAUGAUUCUAGGUGUAACGUGCAAUGUGCAGGCUCAGCAUUUUAUUUGAGAGGCAGACACGAGCAUUGGGUGUCAAGCAGGAAGGUGGAUAAAGUUCUAACGAGGAUUUAACUAACUUGUCCGCAGGGGUCGGUUGACAAUGGGCUUGUCUUCGACCCUCGCCAACUCUGAACAGACGUCGCUCGUCACACUGACAGAUUGACUGAUCGCUACCUUCUACUGGUGUUUCAUUCUCGUUGUUAGCAUUGAAACAACUCGUAAUAAUGCUAUUAUUCGUUUAAUCGAUUAUCGAGGAUAGAUGUGAAUUUAUAUCAUAAUGUUUGUAUGAAUACAAUUGAUAGUAAAACUCUCCAAAUUUAUUUUUCAUAAAUGCAUUGUAUUAUUAUUACGUAAAUCCAUUGAAUUAUUAACAAAUUAUAACUUUCAAGAACAAUCUUUAGAGAAUAUAUUUAAGAUGAUAUAUUUAAGAUUAAAACUUUCCUUUUGAAAAUUCUUUGCAAAUAUUCCUCUGCAUUGAAAAUAAUUUGACAUAAUUUUUAUUCGACGAACUUUAUUAUAUAAAAAAAUAUCUCAAGAAUAAUUUUCAAGAAUUCUGCAAAUAUAUUCAUAUUAUUAAAAACUUAUAGUGAUAUGAGUAGUAUCUAUUAAUAUUAUAAUAUCUAUUUCGCAGAAAUAGUAUAUAGCUUUACAACUUCAAAUACAUCCAAAAUCGUCAAUUCAAUUAUGUGAGCAAUUGUCUAAUUUUUUAAUAAUCUCUAUCUUCUUCUUCUUCUUCUUCUUGACCAUUUUUAAAUUAUCAUCUAUAUUCGUCUUUCAAAUCCUUUUUAAUUUUUGUUGAUUUCUUCUAUUAAGAAAGAAAGGAAAGAUGAGUUGACCGAACGUGUCAACAUUCACGUAUAUACAUGUGCAUCUGGCAUCGUUUCGAAAAGAAAAGAUAAGAGAGCCGUAGAGCGGUUGCAGGCUCGAGUUUCGCUCGUUUUAUAACUCCGUUCGAACGCAUUAUGAAACGUUUCGAGCACCCAGCCAAUUGGCAAGCGAUACCUUAAAAAAAAAAAAAA